UUCGUAGGAGAUAUCGCGAAACGCCGGAGGUUGUCUGGAUGUAGAGGUAAUCGCGACGCUCUCGUCGUUACUUUUACAAUUUUCCCGAGGAAAUGAAGCUCCGUUAGGGAAAAAGGUUCAUGGCGGGGGGGUUGCGUUAGAAGGAUCGUCGGACAUGGCGGAUAUCUAGCGUUCUCGGUGCAUUUAACUUCGUAUCUACGCUGAGCCAGCGGAGCAACGAUAAGCCUUUUAGAUUAUCAUCCAUCGCAUUACGAUUACGAGGUACGCCUACUCGAGCAUCUAGGCGCCAGCACGGCGCGCCUCUAGUCGAUUCGAAAAUUCACCUCUCGUCUAUGAAAACCGAGUUUGCCGCACCCCCACCAUCGUCGCUCGCUUUUACCAACAAACUAAUUACGAGAGAAACGAAAUAACGAUCCACUCUUUCCCUCUUUUGUAAGCGGACAACGCCUUAUAAUAACUCGUCCGUAAAAGAGCCGUUUGACUCGACUUUGCUCAUUCGUUCGUUCAAGAAACAACGCGCGAGAACGAGAUCGCAAAGGUAUUACUGGAAAAUUACUUGUCGUCCGUCCAUUCUCUCUCUCUCUCUCUCUCUCUCUCUCUCUCUCUCUCAUCCCUCUCGCAAGAUUACUUGGAGUAAUUGGACGGACGACGCGACGCGCCUAUCGCCGGACAAAGAUGCGAAGAGGUCUAUCUCUCGAAUAGGACUCGGUGGACGUGGACUCGUCCCGUUGAUUUUACGAAAUUAUCUCGAACAAAGUAAACGACGAAAACCCUAAAGCCGAGCUAUAUAUACAGGAAACUUUGAUAGUUCGCCUACGAGACUCUCUUCCGUGUUUCAGUCGGUCAGCUAACCGCAAUGUGUCUGUUCCACGCACCUGCCCGUGGGUUGCGUCUGUCCGAUAUUAAUUACGUUAAUUAUCUUCUCAACCGUAUUAGGACACUAAUUAUGAUGCAACAAUUCCUACAGAUUUUCAAACAGUUUUCCAAACGUAUCUUAUCUAUCGUUUCUUGGUUUACCAUCGCGAACUUUAUUAAUAAUUUCUAGGUUAUUUCCCUCGGGAAGGAAAAUUCGACCGCUUUCGAGGAGGAGGAUCCUCUUUAGCGAACUUAAUAUACCGAACGUGUUAAAAGUCACCUAAGUAUACCAAGCUUCUCCCAACAGGUCAGGAUCUUAAUUUUACUUGGACGCUAACAUACUCUUGCAUUCUCUCCUAUUCCACUUCUCUGCCUCUCUCUCUCUUUCUCUCGCGCGCGCAUUUAAUAACAGACAGAAUCGCCGAUGCGUUUCGCGAUGCACGAAAUAUUUGCGCGUAUCAGGGAUACGCUCGUUUCUCUCUGUGCCGAUCGAUUACAGUUUGAACGAGCGAGAGCUCGUAGCAUAGCCGAGCUUUGCCCGGGCUUCCUUCCAUCCUCCAUUCUCGACAUUACUCCUGAAUAGUCUUUUAAUGUUCGAUGCGCAUGCAUAAUUAGAAGGCCCAUCCAUCUUUGUCGGUAAGAUUAGAAGCAUUUAAGAUAAUAAGCUCUCCGAAAGCUUCUCACUCUCUCUUUCUCGCGCGCGCACACAUACCCACGCACAUUUCACAUACACAUUUUCUCGACUUCUCUUCUCGGUUGAAGACUUCCGCAACGAAUCCAUUUAUAUUUAUCUAACUUUUCCUAUUUCAUUUUCUUAUCAUUGAUAAAAAUCCUACUUGUAAUUACUACUGCAAAUAUUAUAUCUACGAAUAAAUCAUUCAUAAAUGAGAUAGUGACAAACACACAGAGAGAGAGAGAGAGAGAGAGAGAGAGAAAGCUUGUUGCGUUCAUCACAAUGGCCGCGCGCAACGAGGAUCUUACGUCGCUUAUCAAGCUUCGUGCGAGGCUCUGAAUAAUAUAUCCAAGCUGCUGCAGCAGCGACGUCGUUCUGCGACACUCUGUGCGCUCUAUCUCAGUGCCAUUUUAUCGUAUUAACAAAACGAAACUGGUAUUUCGAAAUCGUUAAGGAUAUCGUUUCUCUCUUAUUUCGUUCGGAGAACAAAACUCGGCUCGAUUUUUCGUCCUCGAGACCAUCGCGUUUUUUUUAUGUAUUAUAUUCAAACGCAAACAAAAGCAAAGCGUUGCCAUUCGUGACGUUUAUAUCAAUCGAGACUGGCAUAAACAAAUUAACUUUCGAUCUAACGCUAUCUAAAUUCCCUUUGGCUUUAUUAUGUCAAAAUUUAUUAUAACGUGCUCCAUCGAAGAUGCAACGAAUUUUCAUCGAUAAUCAGAAAAUCACUCUCCCCGUCGACGUCGUUAAAGAGAAUACAAAGUUCGACUUUCCAAGUGUCAUUGCUUGAACGAGAAAGGUAGACGAUAAAAAUAAGUGGACUUAGGGUAAACCAAAACAUGCCUAUCUUUGGUUGUACGAAAGAGGACAAUUGUAGAAGGAACGCCUUUCUAAGGGCGAGAGAACGUGCGAAUCGUGAAAAAGAAAAGAAGAAAUUGGAAAAUUUGAACAACCCGAAUCAAACGUCCGAACUUUCGAAAGUCGAAAACAUUGAUAAAGAAGAUAUCGUGGAACAAAACGAUAAGUUAAAUCCGAAAGAACAGAAAGAAACGUCAGAAUCGGAAAGAGGGAUCGACGAUUUGGAAGAAUUAUCUUCUUCCGUUAGAAAUCAAGCCUUUAUAGAGCAAAUGCAGGAGGAAUCUUAAAAAAAAAGAAGAAAAAAGAAAAAAAAAAGAGAAAAGGAGACAUCAUAGCGCUCUAAGAAUAAGGACGACCCAAUUUUCGAACAGAAAGUUGCAAUCGGAAAAAUGUAAGAAAAAGUUUGAAAAGAAAAAGCUUGCGGCAUAUGCCAAAACGAGAGAGAAGAUAUAAAGGAUCGUUUGCAUUUCGUUGAAAAUUAUCUAGAGAUAAAAGGGAAAGGGGGAAGAUAGUCAAAGGGUAAAAACUCUCUUUGGCAAAUUCGCCUCGUUUUCGGAUAAUUAUGUAUGCAUGAGGUGGAGAAGAUCGAGAUUAAAUUAACGAAGGGAGAGAUCCGAACUGCGGAUACGAUCAUUUUCUCUCUUAUAAUUUCUUCGGAUACAGUUUGCGAAGUCUGUUCUUUCUCGAGAGAUAUUACGUCGAGCGUAUACAGAAGAUAAAUAACAAUGGAGGAAGAGUACAAAACGCAUCGGGGAGGAGAAGAGGAUAACAAUGAAAACGGUAGAAAGAGAAAUAUUCCUACGAGCUCGGAAAUGGAAGCAACGCAUUUGCGAACGGAUUCUCCUGCACGAUCCGAAACUCACGAGAACGAGGAUAACGAGGAAUACGAAACCGCUAUUUUCACUCUGGCCACCUUCGCGGCAGUUUUUGUUCUCUAUAUAUAUAUCGUCUAUAGCCUUAGUAGUCCGCCAUUAAUAUUACGCCAAUGUUCUUAUUCUUUCGAUCGCCUAGAAUAAAUCAUUUUCAACGA